rnacentral:antisense_RNA from 1 species
ACAAGGGUAAGGGAGGAUUUCUCCCCCCUCUGAUGAGUUGUUAGUAAGUCGGGAAACUUAACAGUAACAACACAACCAGUAUGAUGACGAACUUCAUCAUAACCCUUUCCUUAUACAAGGCCCCUUCUUCGGGAGGGGCUUU